CAGGAGGAGGACCAGGCAAAUCCGGGCCUCACAUACCCUGAGACGUGAUACCGAGCCGCUUCAGGCGAAGUCAUUAAUCCUAUGCUGCCUAGAAAAGCCCAGUAGCGAGUUGACAUGGUGCCCGUACCCCAAACCAACACAGGUGGACAGGUAGAGCAUACCAAGGCGAGUGGGAUAACUAUGGUUAAGGAACUCGGCAAAUUUCCUCCGUAACUUCGGGAUAAGGAGGACCCCAGUAGCGUGACGAGACUUGCUCUCCGAGCGUGAAGGGGUGGCACAAAAUUGAGGGAAGCGACUGUUUACCAAAAACACAGCAGCGUGCUAAGCCGUAAGGCGCUGUAUACGCUGUGACUCCUGCCCGGUGCUGGAAGGUUACGGGGAUGGGUUAGUCCUUCGGGACGAAGCUCUGAACCUAAGCCCCAGUAAACGGCGGCCGUAACUAUAACGGUCCUAAGGUAGCGAAAUUCCUUGUCGGGUAAGUUCCGACCUGCACGAAUGGAGUAACGACUUCCCUACUGUCUCAACCAUAGACCCAGCGAAAUUGAAGUACGAGUAAAGAUGCUCGUUAGCUGCAGAAGGACGGAAAGACCCCGUGGACCUUUACUAUAACUUGAUGUUGUGUUUUGUCAUAUGUUGUGUAGGAUAGGUGGGAGACAAGGAAGCAUGGACGCUAGUCUGUGUGGAGUCAUCGUUGAAAUACCACCCUGCAUAUGGUGAGGCUCUAACCUAGACCCGUUAUCCGGGUUGGGGACAGCGUCAGGCGGGUAGUUUAACUGGGGCGGUUGCCUCCUAAAGAGUAACGGAGGCGCCCAAAGGUUCCCUCAGCCUGGUUGGCAAUCAGGCGUCGAGUGCAAUGGCAAAAGGGAGCUUGACUGCGAGACCUACAAGUCGAGCAGGAGCGAAAGCUGGGCAUAGUGAUCCGGCGGUUGCGUGUGGAAGCGCCGUCGCUCAACGGAUAAAAGGUACCCCGGGGAUAACAGGCUAAUCUUGCCCAAGCGUCCAUAGCGACGGCAAGGUUUGGCACCUCGAUGUCGGCUCAUCGCAUCCUGGGGCUGAAGCAGGUCCCAAGGGUUGGGCUGUUCGCCCAUUAAAGCGGUACGCGAGCUGGGUUCAGAACGUCGUGAGACAGUUCGGUCCCUAUCCUCUGUAGCCGUAGGUGAAUUGAGGAAAGCUGUCCCUAGUACGAGAGGACCGGGACGGACGCAGCUCUCGUGUGCCAGUUGUCCUGCCAAGGGCAUGGCUGGUUAGCGACCUGCGGAAAGGAUAACCGCUGAAAGCAUCUAAGCGGGAAGCCUCUUCCGAGAUGAAUUCACCCACAGGGUUAACCUGGUAAGGCCCGUGGUAGACCACCACGUUGAUAGGCCGGAAGUGUAAGCGUGGCAACACGUUCAGCU
rnacentral:rRNA from 1 species